GAUCCUGGCUCAGGAUGAACGCUAGCUACAGGCUUAACACAUGCAAGUCGAGGGGCAGCAUUUUUAGUUUUGCUUGCAAACUAAAGAUGGCGACCGGCGCACGGGUGAGUAACACGUAUCCAACCUGCCGAUAACUCAGGGAUAGCCUUUACGAAAGAAAAGAUUAAUACCUGAUGGCAUAGGAUUAUCGCAUGAUAAUACCUAUUAAAGUAAUUUACGGUUUAUCGAGUGGGGAGUGUCGUUCCAUUAGG
rnacentral:rRNA from 1 species